rnacentral:rRNA from 1 species
AGCGAACGCUGGCGGCAGGCUUAACACAUGCAAGUCGAGCGGGCAUAGCAAUAUGUCAGCGGCAGACGGGUGAGUAACGCGUGGGAACGUACCUUUUGGUUCGGAACAACUGAGGGAAACUUCAGCUAAUACCGGAUAAGCCCUUACGGGGAAGGAUUUAUCGCCGAAAGAUCGGCCCGCGUCUGAUUAGCUAGUUGGUGAGGUAAUGGCUCACCAAGGCGACGAUCAGUAGCUGGUCUGAGAGGAUGAUCAGCCACAUUGGGACUGAGACACGGCCCAAACUCCUACGGGAGGCAGCAGUGGGGAAUAUUGGACAAUGGGCGCAAGCCUGAUCCAGCCACGCCGCGUGAGUGAUGAAGGCCCUAGGGUUGUAAAGCUCUUUUGUGCGGGAAGAUAAUGACGGUACCGCAAGAAUAAGCCCCAGCUAACUUCGUGCCAGCAGCCGCGGUAA